AAAGUCGUAACAAGGUUUCCGUAGGUGAACCUGCGGAAGGAUCAUUAAAAAGGUUAAGAACACUAUAUUCUUAAACCCCCCCUCUGUGUACUUGUACUUGUUGCUUCCGUGGGGCUGUUGGCUUAGUGCCAGCAUCUGCCUUCAUGGUGGGCCCACGGGAGGUAUUCAUAAACUCUGAGCUUUGGUGAUAUCAGUCUGAAUAUGUUUAAUAAAUUUUAAAACUUUCAACAACGGAUCUCUUGGUUCUC
rnacentral:misc_RNA from 1 species